UCUUUGUCCCUUUCUUAUAAAAUAUGGGCUGCUACACAUGUUCUACGUUGGGGACCUUCCCUUUAAGGUUGUAAAGCAAAACCAAUAUACAACAGCCUCUCAAUUGAGUUCUUACAACAUUCAAAAAAAAAAAAAAAAGACACAUGAGAAUAACACAUAUCUCCCUCUCGGAAUGCCCGUGAUGCUAGUUAGCUUGAUUAUCUCAUUGUGAUUGUAAAGUAGAAGUUGCUCAAAGGGGAAGGAGGAUUUGGAAGGGCCGGCUCUGGUUAUCAAAGACCUGCGAGCUCGAGAAGUAGACGUUGGACAUUAAAUAGAGUUCAAGGUAGACAGGGAGGUGAGCUUGAUCCGGAUUCUUAGUAGCUGUCAGCUGAUUGAGAGCACUCCAUUGUUCGGAGGUGCUUAUGUUUAUUCUUUUGGUUCCUUUAUGUAUUUCGCGCACGACGGAGUCUUGUUCUGUCUAUAUGUAUAAUAUGUCAGUAGAGGCUCGUAGACGCGCAGUGUGGGUUAGAUGGUCUCACAAGAUUACUAUGUUAUAUUUGUAUAUGUUAUUUUGAUGGCCUAAGGGGCACAUGUAUAAUAAAAUCAUUUGUGUUGUCAAAUGAAAAAUGGUUGUCUUAUGAUUAUGAGAUUAUGAAUGAUAAAGAAAUGUAAAAUGGUUAUGACGAGUGAGGAAACGAGCGGUGCUCGAUGGUUAGUCCCGGGUACCCGUCGCGGCCCUAGUCGGGUCGUGACACAAUUCUUGUAUGC